AUUGAACGCUGGCGGCAGGCUUAACACAUGCAAGUCGAGCGGGGUGAUGGUGCUUGCACUAUCACUUAGCGGCGGACGGGUGAGUAAUGCUUAGGAAUCUGCCUAUUAGUGGGGGACAACAUCUCGAAAGGGAUGCUAAUACCGCAUACGUCCUACGUGAGACAUCAGGGGAUCACUUGUGCCCUUGCGCUAAUAGAUGAGCCUCAGUCGGAGUAGCUAGUUGGUGGGGUAAAGGGCUACACAGGCGACGAUCUGUAGCGGGUGUGAGAGGAGGAUCCGCCACACUGGGACUGGGACACGGCCCAGACUCCUCCGGGAGGCAGCAGUGGGGAAUAUUGGACAAUGGGGGGAACCCUGAUCCAGCCAUGCCGCGUGUGUGAAGAAGGCCUUAUGGUUGUAAAGCACUUUAAGCGAGGAGGAGGCUCUUUUGGUUAAUACCCAAGAUGAGUGGACGUUACUCGCAGAAUAAGCACCGGCUAACUCUGUGCCAGCCGCCGCCGUAA
rnacentral:rRNA from 1 species